rnacentral:rRNA from 1 species
AACGUACGCUGGCGGCACGCCUAACACAUGCAAGUCGAACGAAGUAGCAAUACUUAGUGGCAGACGGGUGAGUAACAUGUAGGUAUCUGCCCUUUGGCCUGGAAUAACACGAGGAAACUUGUGCUAAUACCGGAUAAGUCUUUACGGAGAAAGCUUUGUGCGCCAUUGGAUGAGCCUGCACUUGAUUAGUUUGUUGGUGGGGUAAUGGCCUACCAAGACUGUGAUCAAUAGCUGAUUUGAGAGGAUGAUCAGCCACAUUGGGACUGAGACACGGCCCAAACUCCUACGGGAGGCAGCAGUGGGGAAUCUUGCACAAUGGAGGAAACUCUGAUGCAGCGAUGCCGCGUGAGUGAAGAAGGCCCUUGGGUUGUAAAGCUCUUUCGUCGGGGAAGAAAAUGACUGUACCCGAAUAAGAAGGUCCGGCUAACUUCGUGCCAGCAGCCGCGGUAAUACGAAGGGACCUAGCGUAGUUCGGAAUUACUGGGCUUAAAGAGUUCGUAGGUGGUUGAAAAAGUUAGUGGUGAAAUCCCAGAGCUUAACUCUGGAACUGCCAUUAAAACUUUUCAGCUAGAGUAUGAUAGAGGAAAGCAGAAUUUCUAGUGUAGAGGUGAAAUUCGUAGAUAUUAGAAAGAAUACCAAUUGCGAAGGCAGCUUUCUGGAUCAUUACUGACACUGAGGAACGAAAGCAUGGGUAGCGAAGAGGAUUAGAUACCCUCGUAGUCCAUGCCGUAAACGAUGUGUGUUAGACGUUGGAAAUUUAUUUUCAGUGUCGCAGGGAAACCGAUAAACACACCGCCUGGGGAGUACGACCGCAAGGUUAAAACUCAAAUGAAUUGACGGGGACCCGCACAAGUAGUGGAGCAUGUGGUUUAAUUCGAAGAUACGCGCAGAACCUUACCAACACUUGACAUGUUCGUCGCGACUCUAAGAGAUUAGAGUUUUCGGUUCGGCCGGACGAAACACAGGUGCUGCAUGGCUGUCGUCAGCUCGUGUCGUGAGAUGUUGGGUUAAGUCCCGCAACGAGCGCAACCCUCACUUUUAGUUGCCAUCAUUAAGUUGGGCACUCUGAAAGAACUGCCAGUGAUAAGCUGGAGGAAGGUGGGGAUGACGUCAAGUCCUCAUGGCCCUUACGUGUUGGGCUACACACGUGCUACAAUGGUAUCUACAACAGGAAGCAAGACUGCGAAGUUAAGCAAAUCCCUAAAAGAUACCUCAGUUCGGAUUGCACUCUGCAACUCGAGUGCAUGAAGCUGGAAUUACUAGUAAUCGUGGAUCAGCGUGCCACGGUGAAUGCGUUCCCGGGUCU